rnacentral:rRNA from 1 species
GAUGAACGCUGACAGAAUGCUUAACACAUGCAAGUCGAUGGGGAAGUGGUGCUUGCACCAUGGUAACCAUGGCGGACGGGUGAGUAACGCGUAAGGAACUUGCCUGCGGGACUGGGAUAACAGCAGGAAACUGCUGAUAAUACCGGAUAAGGUCAUUAAGCUGCAUAGCUUAGUGAUGAAAGGAGACGCCUGCGGAGAGCCUUGCGUCCUAUUAGCUAGUUGGAGGGGUAACGGCCCACCAAGGCGAAGAUAGGUAGCCGGCCUGAGAGGGUGGACGGCCACAAGGGGACGGAGAUACGGCCCUUACUCCUACGGGAGGCAGCAGUGGGGAAUAUUGGACAAUGGUGGCAACCCUGAUCCAGCAAUUCUGUGUGCACGAAGACGGUUUUCGGAUUGUAAAGUGCUUUCAGCAGGGAAGAAGGAAGUGACGGUACCUGCAGAAGAAGCGACGGCUAAAUACGUG